rnacentral:piRNA from 1 species
GGACAAAACACAGAUGGUACCUCUUCCAGGA